CGAUCAGGGUCAAAGUUCAGAGAUGGUCCUGCGAUGGAUCUCGGCCGCCCCUCCUGGGCCCAAGGCGAGGCCAGAAUCCAAAUGACUCUUACGGUCGCCUGCCAGGCGAGCGUUGACCAAGGCCUGGAGCGAUCGAAGUGCCCCUUUCCUGGAGCUCGUCCUCGCCUGACCAGCCGGAAGCUGAACACAAAGUCGCGAGCUAAGGCCGGAGGGCGGGGCGAGCCGAGCGCUCGGCCCGCCCGCGAGCGCGCUGGAUUCCUAUCGGGGAGGCGCCCGCUGGAGUUGACGUUAGCCAUGGAAACGCCGCCGGUCCCCAACGCCACCUCAGUGAGCUGGUUUUCCCGACCGCCACAGUUUCUCUGCCUCCACAUUCCGACCGCAGGCAGCCUCCCGGCGGGAACGCCCAACGUGGGUUUACCUGCAAAAAUGUAUUCCCCGGGAUGCCUUCGCGUAGCCUCUUCCCUCGGGUGACUCGAGAGACUGCUGUGUUACAGAAAAGGAUGUGACUUUCAGAAUAAUCCUGAAUGAGAAGGAUGAGUCCAGAUGUUCCUCUGCUGAAUGAUUACAAACAGGACUUCUUUCUGAAGCGCUUUCCACAGACUGUUCUUGGAGGCCCUCGACUCAAAUUAGGCUAUUGUGCCCCUCCUUACAUAUAUGUUAAUCAGAUUAUCCUUUUUUUGAUGCCAUGGGUUUUGGGUGGAAUAGGAACACUUUUGUACCAAUUUGGCAUCCUGGAAGAUUAUUAUACAGCAGCACUUUCAGGUGGACUGAUGCUUUUCACUGCAUUUGUCAUCCAGUUCACAAGUAGAUAUGCCAGAAACAAAUCGGUGACAGUAGAAAGAAUGCUAACCACAAAUAUCUUAGCAGAGGAAGACGAGCAUGAAUUUACGAGUUGUGUUGGUGCUGAGACCAUCAAAUUUCUAAUUCCUGGCAAAAAGCAUAUAGUCAAUACAGUUUUUCAUUCUGUUCUUGCUGGGUUAGUGUGUGGUCUUGGAACAUGGUAUUUGCUCCCAAAUAGAGUAACACAGCUGUAUGGCAGUGCAGGAGGCACUGUUCUACUAUUUGUCUUUGGAUGGAUGACAUUGUGUAUAGGAGAAUAUUCAUUAAUUGUAAACACAGCUACAGAGACUGCGACUUUCCAAACCCAGGAUACUUAUGAAAUCACUCCUCUUAUGAGACCACUUUAUAUUUUUGUCUUUGUUUCUGUAGAUCUUGCACACAGGUUUAUGGUAAAUAUACCAGUUCUAGAACAAAUGAAUCAGAUUUUACACAUCUUGUUUGUAUUUUUACCCUUUCUGUGGGCACUCGGGACUCUACCCCCACCUGACGCCCUUUUCUUAUGGGCAAUGGAGCAGGUUUUAGAGUUUGGCCUUGGAGGCUCAUCUAUGUCAACCCACCUACGGUUGUUAAUAAUGUUCAUCAUUUCCUCUGGAACAGUGAUAACAUCAUAUUUCAUCCCCAGCACUGUUGGUGUGGUUCUUUUCAUGACUGGACUUGGGUUCUUACUGAGUCUUAACCUAAGUGGGAUGAGUUUUCUCUUCAGACACAGUGUGACCAAACACAGAGUUGAAACCAAAUCUAAGACUUUACCCAGUGGUUUGGAAAAACAGUUUACUUGGAAGGAAUUCCUUUUCUACAUCAUUGUAUUAGUCUUGGCUCUCUUGGAAACUGGCUUAUUACAUCACUUUGCUGGUUUCUCACAUAUUUCCAAAAGCAGUCCCCAGGCUAUUGUUGGCUAUAUUUUGAUGAUAUUAUUUAUAAUAUUAUGGAUACUUAAAGAAAUUCAAAGUGUCUAUAUCUUUGGAAUUUUCCGGAACCCUUUCUAUCCAAAGGAUGUGCAAACUGUGACUUUAUUCCUAGAGAAGCAAACAAAGCUCGUGAAGAUUGGUGUUGUCAGACGGAUUUUGAUAAAUAUAGUGUCACCUUUUGCUAUGAUAGCAUUUCUUUCAAUGGACAGUGCCUUACAAAGGCUCCACUCUGUGUCUGUCUCCAUUGGAUUCACAAGAGCUUUUAGAAUGGUAUGGCAGAAUACAGAAAAUGCUUUAUUGGAGAUAGUCAUUGUAUCAGCAGUGCACUUGUUGAUCUCCAGUACAGACACAUGGUGGAACAGAAGCUUAGACACAGGAAUCAGACUCUUACUGGUUGGUAUCAUGCGUGAUCGUCUGAUUCAGUUUAUCUCUAAAUUGCAGUUUGCUGUGACUGUACUUUUGGCAUCCUGGACAGAGAAAAAACGUAGAAAAUCAACCACCACUUUAUGUAUACUCAACAUUGUCUUCUCUCCAUUCAUGUUGCUCUUAAUAGUUUUUUCUACACUACUCUCAUCCCCCUUACUCCCCCUCUUCACCCUUCCUUUGUUCCUGGUGGGGUUUCCUCGACCUGUUCAGAGUUGGCCAGGAGUGGUGGGCACCACAGCCUGCGUGUGUGCAGAUACAGUGUAUUACUACCAGAUGGUCCCAAGUUUGACCACUGCACUGCAGUCUGCAAUGGCAGCUGGAAGUUUAGGUCUCAUCUUACCCGGAUCUCAUUACUUGGGCCGUUUUCAGGAUCGUUUGAUAUGGAUAAUGAUUCUAGAGUGUGGCUAUACUUAUUGCUGCCUUAACAUUAAGGGGUUAGAAUUGCAAGAAACAUCCUGUCAUACUGCUGAAGCUCGAAGAGUUGACGAAGUUUUUCAGGGUGCCUUUGAACAAGAGGAAUAUGCAAGAGUAUGUUCCAUUAACGAACACUUUGGAAAUGUCCUGACACCCUGUACUGUUUUGCCUGUGAAACUCUAUUCUGAUGCCAGGAGUGUCUUGUCUGGCAUAAUAGAUUCCCAUGAUAACUUAAAAGAAUUUAAAGGUGACCUUGUUAAAGUACUUGUUUGGAUACUUGUUCAGUUCUGUUCCAGAAGAUCCAGCAUGCAGGAGAAUGUUCAAAAAACUGAAAAUAAAGGGAAAGCAUCUCUAAUAAUCCUGCCUGCUUUGAAUUCUUCACCACAACCUGAAUCCCUAGAAGACACAGAUAGUUUAAAUUCAGAAAAUUUGGAUGACUGGUCUGAUGAUAUUUUUGGUGAGGAGCCAACUAUCAAAAAAGGAAAAGAAGAAAAAGAUCAGGUGAAAGUUUUGCCAGUUAUAAAUUUGCCUAUACCAGGAUCAGUAGAAUCACAGAGGGUAGGUAAUCAUUCUACAAGCACAGUCACUGAAUGUAGUCUUUACCAAGCAGUUGUGUUGGGAUACCCUGCUGUUGACAAAGGAGAGCAAGAAGACCGGACAUAUAUCCCUCUCAUGGAGUUCAGUUGUUCUCAUUCUCACUUGUUAAGCUUACCUGAAGAAUGGAUGUCUAACUGUUUGCCUAAUUCCAAAGUGAAGGAGAUGAGAUCGUUAUUUCCAGAAGACUGGUAUCAGUUUGUUUUAAAGCACUUGGAGUGUUUUCAUUCAAAAGAAAAUGCUUCAAGUAUAGUGGAAGAAAUUGCAAAGGACAGAGUAUUGAAAGAAUUUUAUGUUCAUGCAGUAGUGACUUGUUAUUUUAGUUUAUUUGGAGUGGACAAUAUGACUCCUAGUCCUGGUCAUAUAUUGAGAGUUUACAGUGGCGUUUUGCCUUGGUCUGUUGCCUUGGAUUGGCUUACAGAAAAGCCUGAACUGUUCCAACUAGUCCUGAAAGCUUUCAGGUAUACUCUGAAACUAAUGAUUGAUAAAGCAAGUUUAGGUCCAAUAGAAGACUUUAAAGAGCUGACUGACUGUCUUGAAGAAUAUGAAAGUGACUGGUACAUUGGUUUGGUGUCUGAUGAAAAGUGGAAGGAAGCAGUUUUACAAGAAAAACCAUACUUGUUUUCUCUGGGGUAUGAUCCUAAUAUGCUCAGCAAGACAGAAACUCCACUCAGACUGGUAUUGCCAAGAACACAGGGCUCCCUCUCUCCUCAGCUCCCAGUUGAAAGGCUGUUUUCCUACAAGAAGAACUUCAGCAUUUCUCUUCUUACUCUGGGCAUGUAUAGUCAAAAGGGAGUUUACACAGGGAGAGUACUUACCCUUCAAGAAUUAUUGAUCCAAGUUGGGAAGUUAAAUGCUGAAGCAGUUAGAGGUCAGUGGGCCAAUCUUUCGUGGGAAUUGCUCUACGCCACAAAUGACGAUGAGGAACGUUACAGUAUACAAGCUCAUCCACUACUUUUAAGAAACCUUACAGUACAAGCAGCUGAUCCUCCCCUGGGAUAUCCAAUUUAUUCUUCGAAACCUCUCCAUAUACAUUUGUUUUAGAGCCCACUUUGCCCUGCAAAUGUACUGUCAUCAAGUGAGAUGUUUUUAUUUUUUCAUUUUAGAAAUGUAACAGUGUGAUUCCUCAUAACUUCACUGAACUUCCUUCUCCUCCCAAGUCAGAUGCCUGAAAAAAGCUAAGCUCUAUAAAGCUCAUUUUUUAAGAUAUGCUAAUGGUUUUAAACAACAUCAACUCUAUGCCUAACAUAAAAGUUAGAAGUAGUUGGCCAAUAUUUGUGCCAUAUGGAUUGUGGUGGGCUUUGGUAAAUAUGAAACAUUUGUAUAAGAUUAUAUAAUGAAUUUUUUUAAUGCUUUUAAGUGUGUGAUAAGUGACUUGACUUGGAGAAGUCAACAGCUGUGUAAUUUUUACAUACUUAAAAGAUAUACAUAUCAGUGUUUUUAAGUAAUGAUAAUGGAUCAUACUGAAGGUUGCAUUAUGUAUCUAUAUUUAUUUAAAAUAUAAUUUAUAGUAUUUUCAAACUUUGUGCUGUUUUAACAUUUAAUACGUUUUCAUUUUCUUUACAUAUACUGCAAUUUAGAAACCUUAAAAAUUUUUAAUAAAAGCUUCCCCUUUUUUUUCCUUUUCUUUUUUUUCUAAGUAUCCUUUUUAUAUAUCCAAAAGGAAAAGGGAUCUUCCCAUUCAUCCUGUGAAUACUCACAGGAUUAGCAAUGUUAGAGUAAUCUGAUUAUAACUGUUAGAGGCCAUUCUGUCGAUCUGCCUCCUUUAUUCCUUUCUUUUCAACUGAAUAUACUGCUUCUGAAGAACUACCAGUUACUUGUGUCCUGAGGUGAACUAAAGGCAGGAAGAGAUGGAGAAAAGUUUUCAGAAUGUGAUUAGGAUUUUCAUUCUCUUACUGCUUAGGAACUAUUUACAGGUACUUGUAAGGAGAAUGAACAAUGAAUCUACAUCAUUUGAGACAUGAAUUUCCUCUACCCCUUACUUUACUGCCAUCUGUAGCACCCUUUAUUUGAUCUAUAGUGGCAUCCUAGGUUAGUAGUACAGUAAUACAUUCUCUUUAGAAAUGAUUGAAAUUACUGGAUGUGUACCAAUUAGGUUUUUAUUACUAUUUCAUUUAUUAUGUGGAACAGUUCAAUACAGUAAUGUUAAAGGAUAGCUUUUUGGAUUAAUUUCAAUUAACAAAAUCACAAGAUUUUUGGUGUUAGUCAUUUUGGGGGAAAGCAAUAUCAUUUUGACUGCACAACAUCGAUAGAUACAACGAUUUAUUAGACUACCCCUCCCCCAAAUGGGCAUUUUAAGUUGUUUAAAGAUUUUCACUAUUAUAAUAAUGCCAGGCCAUGCUUUCCCUUUACCUUGCAUUCUUCUCAAGUUUCCAUAUCUUUAUUGACUUUUCAGACCCUUCCAGUCUGGAUUCCUUCUCUACUAUCCCCCCAAAGAAAGUUUUUAUUAAGGUCACUACCUUCAAAUUGUCAAACCAAUUACAGCUGAUCUUUGAACAACGUGUAUUUGAACUGUACAGGUCCGCUUGAACAUGGAUAUUUUCCAAUUGUAAAUACUAAGGUAUUGCACAGUUCAAAGUUGAUUGAAAUCACAGAUGAGAAGCUAUUUUGCCCUCACCAACAGCCAUCUGUUUGUUCUCUGUAUCUGUGUGUUUUUGUUUUAUUUUUUAGAUCCCACAUAUAAGUGAGAUCAUGUGGUAUUGGUGUUUAUUUCAUUUAGCAUAACAGCCUCUAGAUCCAUCCAAGUUGUCUCAAGUGGUAGGAUUUUGUUUAAUGACUGAGUAAUGGUUCAUUUUAUAUGUAUAUAUAAUAAACAUCUUUAUCUAUUCA